UACGUAGGUGGCAAGCGUUGUCCGGAUUUACUGGGCGUAAAGAGCGCGCAGGCGGCUGGUCAAGUCCGAUGUGAAAUCUCCCGGCUCAACUGGGAAACUGCAUCGGAAACUGAUCGGCUUGAAGGUGGGAGAGGGUAGUGGAAUUCCCGGUGUAGUGGUGAAAUGCGUAGAUAUCGGGAGGAACACCAGUGGCGAAGGCGACUACCUGGCCUGUUCUUGACGCUGAGGCGCGAAAGCUAGGGGAGCAAACGGG
rnacentral:rRNA from 1 species